GAUGAAGAACGUAGCGAAAUGCGAUACGUAAUGUGAAUUGCAGAAUUCAGUGAAUCAUCGAAUCUUUGAACGCGCAUUGCGCCUGCCAGCACUCUGGCAGGCAUGCCUGUUCGAGCGUCAUUUCAACCAUCAAGCCCUAGGCUUGCGUUGGAGCCCUGCGGCUGCCGCAGGCCCCUAAAAGCAGUGGCGGGCUCGCUAUCACACCGAGUGCAGUAGAUUACUCUUCGCUCAGGGCGUGUGGCGGGUUCCAGCCGUGAAACCCCCUACUUCUCAAGGUUGACCUCGGAUCAGGUAGGAAUACCCGCUGAACUUAAGCAUAUCAAUAAGCGGAGGA
rnacentral:misc_RNA from 1 species